GAAUCAAUCUGUUGGUCGUGCCUCGGUACGUACUGGUAUUAUUGGUUUCUACCUUCUGAAGAACCUUGAUGUCAUUAAUUUGGUGCCUUGGGGAAUCAGGACUGUUACUUUGAAAAAAUUAGAGUGUUUAAAGCAAGCAUACGCUUGAAUACAUUAGCAUGGAAUAAUGAAAUAGGACGUUUGAUUCUAUUUUGUUGGUUUCUAGGAUCGACGUAAUGAUUAAUAGGGAUAGUUG
rnacentral:rRNA from 1 species